GUGGGGAAUCUUCCGCAAUGGGCGAAAGCCUGACGGAGCAACGCCGCGUGAGUGAUGACGGCCUUCGGGUUGUAAAGCUCUGUUAUAUGGGACGAACGGGCAUGGGGCGAAUACCCCCAUGCAGUGACGGUACCGUAAGAGAAAGCCACGGCUAACUACGUGCCAGCAGCCGCGGUAAUACGUAGGUGGCAAGCGUUGUCCGGAAUUAUUGGGCGUAAAGGGCGUGUAGGCGGCCAGACAAGUCUGUCUUAAAAGUGCGGGGCUCAACCCCGUGAUGGGAUGGAAACUGUCGGGCUAGAGUGUCGGAGAGGAAAGCGGAAUUCCUAGUGUAGCGGUGAAAUGCGUAGAUAUUAGGAGGAACACCAGUGGCGAAAGCGGCUUUCUGGACGACAACUGACGCUGAGGCGCGAAAGCCAGGGGAGCAAACGGGAUUAGAAACCCUUGUAGUCC
rnacentral:rRNA from 1 species